rnacentral:rRNA from 1 species
UACGGAGGAUGCGAGCGUUAUCCGGAUUUAUUGGGUCUAAAGGGUGCGUAGGCGGACUGUCAAGUCAGCGGUAAAAUUGAGAGGCUCAACCUCUUCCCGCCGUUGAAACUGGUGGUCUUGAGUGGAUGAGAAGUACGCGGAAUGCGUGGUGUAGCGGUGAAAUGCAUAGAUAUCACGCAGAACUCCGGUUGCGAAGGCAGCGUACCGGCAUCCAACUGACGCUGAGGCACGAAAGCGUGGGGAUCAAACAGG